CUCUCUCUAUCUGAAAGGAAAAAAAAAAAUCAAAGCUAAGCAAGAGAAUUCAUCAGUUUUUGAAAAAAGAUUUAAGAGAAAAAAUCAAUUUUGAUUCGAUCAGUCACCAUCAGAUCCCACCUCCACCAGCGAUUGCCAUGUCCUCAACAACCACUGCUCAAUCCCUUCUUCUCCUCGCCUUUAUUUCCCUCCUUCUCCUCUCUCCUGCUCUCACCUUCGACGCAGAUCACAGGGAUUUAAAUGUUAGGUUGAUUGGUGUUCAUA